rnacentral:rRNA from 1 species
UACGGAGGGUGCAAGCGUUACUCGGAAUCACUGGGCGUAAAGGACGCGUAGGCGGUCAGAUAAGUUGGAUGUGAAAUCCUAUGGCUUAACCAUAGAACUGCAUCCAAAACUGUUUGACUAGAAUAAGGGAGAGGUCAGUGGAAUUAGUGGUGUAGGGGUAAAAUCCGUAGAGAUCACUAGGAAUACUCAUUGCGAAGGCGACUGACUGGAACUUAAUUGACGCUGAGGCGUGAAAGCGUGGGGAGCAAACAGGAUUAGAUACCCUGGUAGUCCACGCCCUAAACGAUGUACACUAGUUGUUGGGAUGCAAGUCAUUUCAGUGAUGCAGCUAACGCAUUAAGUGUACCGCCUGGGGAGUACGGUCGCAAGAUUAAAACUCAAAGGAAUAGACGGGGACCCGCACAAGUGGUGGAGCAUGUGGUUAAUUCGAAGAUACGCGAAGAACCUUACCUGGGCUUGACAUCCUUGGAAUCUUACAGAGAUGUGAGAGUGCUAGUUACUAGAGCCAAGUGACAGGUGCUGCACGGCUGUCGUCAGCUCGUGUCGUGAGAUGUUGGGUUAAGUCCCGCAACGAGCGCAACCCUCGUCCUUAGUUGCUAACAGUUAGGCUGAGCACUCUAAGGAGACUGCCUUCGUAAGGAGGAGGAAGGUGAGGACGACGUCAAGUCAUCAUGGCCCUUAUGCCCAGGGCGACACACGUGCUACAAUGGGGAGGACAAUGAGAGGCGAUACCGCGAGGUGGAGCAAAUCUAUAAACCUUCUCUCAGUUCGGAUUGCACUCUGCAACUCGAGUGCAUGAAGCUGGAAUCACUAGUAAUCGUAGAUCAGCCAUGCUACGGUGAAUACGUUCCCGGGUC